rnacentral:snRNA from 1 species
AGAGAAUCACUUGAACCUGGGAGGCGGAGGUUGCAGUGAGCCAAGAUUGCCCCACUGCACUCCAGCCUGGGCAACAAGA